UACGUAGGGUGCGAGCGUUGUCCGGAUUUAUUGGGCGUAAAGGGCUCGUAGGCGGCCUGUCGCGUCGGGAGUGAAAGCCCACUGCUUAACGGUGGGUCUGCUUCCGGUACGGGCGGGCUAGAGUAUGGCAGGGGAGACUGGAAUUCCUGGUGUAGCGGUGGAAUGCGCAGAUAUCAGGAGGAACACCGGUGGCGAAGACGGGUCUCUGGGCCAUUACUGACGCUGAGGAGCGAAAGCGUGGGGAGCGAACAGG
rnacentral:rRNA from 1 species